rnacentral:rRNA from 1 species
UACGAAGGGGGCUAGCGUUGUUCGGAAUUACUGGGCGUAAAGGGCGCGUAGGUGGCCCGCUCAGCGUGCGGUGAAAGCCUGGGGCUCAACCCCGGGUCGGCCGUGCGAACUGGUGGGCUGGAGCACUGUAGAGGCAGGCGGAAUUCCGGGUGUAGCGGUGGAAUGCGUAGAGAUCCGGAAGAACACCGGUGGCGAAGGCGGCCUGCUGGGCAGUGGCUGACACUGAGGCGCGACAGCGUGGGGAGCAAACAGG